UUCAGAAUGGGUCACAUGUGUCCAGGAGUGAGCUGCCGCGGGUUACAUCAUCAGCAUGCUCGCUCUGUGCCAUCCUAUUGGCUGGAAAGACCUGCUCUUCACUCAGCCCCCAACUCCCACUCCUUCUGGAAAGCCUUCCUUGACCACCAGUGCUCCCCAGCCGCUGCCAGAUCAGAUGCCCCCGCCAGAUCAGAUGCCCCCGCCAGAUCAGAUGCCCCCUGCUGUGUUCCCAAAAUACCUCUAUGUACAUUUGACAUGGAAACCACCACUCUGAUGAAAUGGCUCGUCUUCUCAGUUGUAAAAUGGAAUCAGAUUUGCCCUGCCCUCUUCACUGUGAGCUCAUACGGAUCAGGUGGAAAUGAUAACAAUACAGAAAUAAUUUCCGUUUGUACUUUUACAAUACUUUGUACAUUUGGAAAUGCUCUCUUCUUGGUUUUGCGAGAAAGUCUUUUUAGAACAAUACAUC
rnacentral:lncRNA from 10 species